AUUGAACGCUGGCGGCAGGCCUAACACAUGCAAGUCGAGCGGAGCGGCGGACGGGUGAGUAAUGCCUAGGCAUCUGCCUGGUCGUUGGGGAUAACGUCCUGAAACGGGCGCUAAUACCGCAUAAUAUCAGCUGAGCCUCGGUCGGGUGAGCUAGUGGGGGGGGUAAAGGCCUACCAAGGCGACGCUCCGUAACUGGUCUGAGAGGAUGAUCAGUCAAACUGGAACUGAGACAUGGACCAGAAUCCUGCGGGAGGCAGCAGUGGGGAAUAUUGGACAAGGGGCGAGAGAAUGAUGCAGCCAGGCCGCGAGUGUGAAGAAGGUCUUCGGAUUGUAAAGCACUUUAAGGUGGGAGGAGGUACAAACAGAAGAAGCACCGGCUAACUUCGUGCCAGCAGCCGCGGUAAUAC
rnacentral:rRNA from 1 species